rnacentral:rRNA from 1 species
AGAUUGAACGCUGGCGGCAUGCCUUACACAUGCAAGUCGAACGGCAGCACGGGAGCAAUCCUGGUGGCGAGUGGCGAACGGGUGAGUAAUAUAUCGGAACGUGCCCAGUCGUGGGGGAUAACGCAGCGAAAGCUGUGCUAAUACCGCAUACGAUCUAUGGAUGGAAAGGCGGGGGAUCGCAAGACCUCGCGCGAUUGGAGCGGCGAUAUCAGAUUAGCUAGUUGGGUAGGGUAAAACGCCGUAACCAAGGCGACGAUCUGUAGCUGGUCUAGAGAGGACGACCAGCCAC